AGUUGUAUCCUGGCUCAGAACGAACGCUGGCGGCAGGCCUAAUACAUGCAAGUCGAGCGCGCCCUUCGGGGUGAGCGGCGGACGGGUGAGUAACGCGUGGGAAUAUGCCCUUCUCUAAGGAAUAGCCUCUGGAAACGGAGAGUAAUACCUUAUACGCCCUUCGGGGGAAAGAUUUAUCGGAGAAGGAUUAGCCCGCGUUAGAUUAGGUAGUUGGUGGGGUAAUGGCCUACCAAGCCUACGAUCUAUAGCUGGUUUGAGAGGAUGAUCAGCCACACUGGGACUGAGACACGGCCCAGACUCCUACGGGAGGCAGCAGUAGGGAAUCUUAGACAAUGGGGGCAACCCUGAUCUAGCCAUGCCGCGUGUGUGAUGAAGGCCCUAGGGUCGUAAAGCACUUUCGCCAGAGAUGAUAAUGACAGUAUCUGGUAAAGAAACCCCGGCUAACUCCGUGCCAGCAGCCGCGGUAAUACGGAGGGGGUUAGCGUUGUUCGGAAUUACUGGGCGUAAAGCGCACGUAGGCGGAUUAGUAAGUUAGAGGUGAAAUCCCAGGGCUCAACCCUGGAACUGCCUUUAAUACUGCUAGUCUUGAGUUCGAGAGAGGUAAGUGGAAUUCCGAGUGUAGAGGUGAAAUUCGUAGAUAUUCGGAGGAACACCAGUGGCGAAGGCGGCUUACUGGCUCGAUACUGACGCUGAGGUGCGAAAGUGUGGGGAGCAAACAGGAUUAGAUACCCUGGUAGUCCACACCGUAAACGAUGAAUGCCAGACGUCAGCAAGUAUACUUGUUGGUGUCACACCUAACGGAUUAAGCAUUCCGCCUGGGGAGUACGGUCGCAAGAUUAAACUCAAAGGAAUUGAC
rnacentral:rRNA from 1 species